GUCAGCAGCCGCGGAAACACCGGCAGCUCUAGUGGUAACAAUUUUAUUGGGCCUAAAGCGUCCGUAGCCGGUUUAAUAAGUCUCUGGUGAAAUCCUGUAGCUUAACUGUGGGAAUUGCUGGAGAUACUAUUAGACUUGAGACCGGGAGAGGUUAGAGGUACUCCCAGGGUAGAGGUGAAAUUCUGUAAUCCUGGGAGGACCGCCUGUUGCGAAGGCGUCUAACUGGAACGGUUCUGACGGUGAGGGACGAAAGUUAGGGGCGCGAACCGGAUUAGAUACCCGGGUAGUCCUAACUGUAAACGAUGCGGACUUGGUGUUGGGGUGGCUUUGAGCUGCUCCAGUGCCGAAGGGAAGCUGUUAAGUCCGCCGCCUGGGAAGUACGGUCGCAAGACUGAACUUAAAGGAAUUGGCGGGGGAGCACCACAACGCGUGGAGCCUGCGGUUUAAUUGGAUUCAACGCCGGACAUCUCACCAGAGGCGACAGCUGUAUGAUAGCCAGGUUGAUGACUUUGCUUGACUAGCUGAGGGGAGGUGCAUGG
rnacentral:rRNA from 1 species